UCGGGUUGUAAAGCACUUUUGUCCGGAAAGAAAACCUCAGCCCGAAUACGGCGGGGGGAUGACGGUACCGGAAGAAUAAGCACCGGCUAACUACGUGCCAGCAGCGCGGUAAUCGUAGGGUGCGAGCGUUAAUCGGAAUUACUGGGCGUAAAGCGUGCGCAGGCGGUUCGUUAAGACAGAUGUGAAAUCCCCGGGCUUAACCUGGGAACUGCAUUUGUGACUGGCGGGCUAGAGUAUGGCAGAGGGGGGUAGAAUUCCACGUGUAGCAGUGAAAUGCGUAGAGAUGUGGAGGAAUACCGAUGGCGAAGGCAGCCCCCUGGGCCAAUACUGACGCUCAUGCACGAAAGCGUGGGGAGCAAACAGGAUUAGAUACCCUGGUAGUCCACGCCCUAAACGAUGUCAACUAGUUGUCGGGUCUUCAUUGACUUGGUAACGUAGCUAACGCGUGAAGUUGACCGCCUGGGGAGUACGGUCGCAAGAUUAAAACUCAAAGGAAUUGACGGGGACCCGCACAAGCGGUGGAUGAUGUGGAUUAAUUCGAUGCAACGCGAAAAACCUUACCUACCCUUGACAUGGACGGAACUUGGCUG
rnacentral:rRNA from 1 species